rnacentral:rRNA from 1 species
UGGGGAAUAUUGGACAAUGGGCGAAAGCCUGAUCCAGCCAUGCCGCGUGUGUGAAGAAGGUCUUCGGAUUGUAAAGCACUUUAAGUUGGGAGGAAGGGCAUUAACCUAAUACGUUAGUGUUUUGACGUUACCGACAGAAUAAGCACCGGCUAACUCUGUGCCAGCAGCCGCGGUAAUACAGAGGGUGCAAGCGUUAAUCGGAACUACUGGGCGUAAAGCGCGCGUAGGUGGUUUGUUAAGUUGGAUGUGAAAUCCCCGGGCUCAACCUGGGAACUGCAUUCAAAACUGACUGACUAGAGUAUGGUAGAGGGUGGUGGAAUUUCCUGUGUAGCGGUGAAAUGCGUAGAUAUAGGAAGGAACACCAGUGGCGAAGGCGACCACCUGGACUAAUACUGACACUGAGGUGCGAAAGCGUGGGGAGCAAACA